rnacentral:SRP_RNA from 1 species
AUAUACUUGCAAUGCGAUGCUUCUGAUGAAGCCCGUAUAGCUGCCCUUGAUAAGUGGCGUUGACGUUUUGGUCCUGCGCAAUGAGAACUGCGAAUCGUGUCAGGUUGGGAACAAAGCAGCACUAAGCAGAUCCCCUCAUGUGCCGUAGGAGCGCCGGGGCUGAGCUAACUGUCAAGGUAACGUAUGCGGGUUUCAUCAGGAGUAUUUUUGUAU